GCAUCACUUCCCAAAUUUCAAUUGCCGUUAGAAUUGAGCAACCCUUAAUUCCCGUCGCCUCCUCCGACUCACUCUACGCCGGCGACCACAACGCCCUCUCACUCCCUUCUACGUCCUCUCUACACUCCGGCUAAACAACACAGUCAAGUCACGAUUCGCCCUUCGUUCCACCACCGCCUUUGCUUUCGGUUCGCGAGGUCUCAUCACCACCACUCCGUCGCCGUCAGAACGGAGUUUCUGUGCUACUGUUUGGAAGCCGCUGCCGUGGAAUCACCGCAGCCGAACAUCAGCGCCGAAUCAGGCGCCUCAUUGUCCCAGCUUUGCUGCAAUGUCUCGCCGUCGCCAUUUGUUUAUUUAAUCGAGGAAGCGGACAGACUCGCCGUCUGAUUUUGAUGCUGCCGAUUCUCGCCUAGCGGUGAGAGGCGCUCGAGAAUCCACCAAGCAGUCGCUGCCAUCGGGGUCUCACUUCGGUCGGUGUCAUUCUCCAGCCAUCUCGGCUGCAUUGUCACUAUCAAUUUCGUCGGACUUCCGUGGACUUCUCGGCUUAAUAGUUGUGUGGCAAUGGAGGCGUUCUUGUUCUAGUUCAGGCCAUCAUGAACUUAAAGUUAUCGGGCUCAGACAAUAUUUCCUCAUACAUGGCUGCUAUCUCCCGCCUAAAAUCUAAAGCUUUAUCUAUUCUUUUGCACCUUUGUGAAGCUGAAAGUGUAUCCUACCUGGAUGAGGUGGCCAGCAACACAACAACUCGGGAUGUGGCAAAGUCUGUUGGACUCGAGGUUCUUCAAUUGCUGAAAAAUGUUUGGUAUAGAUUCAAGACAGUUAAAAGCUCCCUCCGAGGCAAGUUACCCGAAGGGUCAACUGGAACGUAAUACAAAGUGCUUGGUAGAUGUCGUCUCAGAUGCUUCAAAUUUUCGGUCAUUCAUCAUGAUAAACUUUGUUCACAGUUGAGUCAUUCUGAAUCUUUAGUUCCAGGAGUUUUGAAUGAAGAUGAUGUAUAACUGCUGAGGUUAUUUAUAAGUCAGUUUGAGUGCCGAAUCAUUCGUGCUGCAUCGGAAGAUCAUUUAGUCCAUGAGCUUGGGAAGGGGUGGACUGCAGGAGCAACUAGCUUCCUAUAUUGGACUCUCGGCCCUGAUGAGAAAAAAGAGGAAUAAGCUUCAUAAAAAGGAAUUUUAAAGCCACAAAAGGAAGGUAGGAAGCUUUAUAAACUUACUACACACAUUUCCUUUUUACUUUGGCAUUCGGUUUGCUGUACUUGCAUCUAAAAAAAAAGAAAUCGCUGGCCUUGGAAGCUGGUUGAGCACUCAAUUAGUGUCAAGUAAAGAUACUUUCUAUGAGGAUCAGUCAUUAAGCAUCAACGUGUGACUCACCUUACGCUGAGUAUUGCUUUACGAGCUGUUUUAGAUGCUUUGAGUAAGCCUGCAGAUUGGUAAGUUUGUCCCUUCCUCGGUUAUCUGUGAAUUCAGUCUGACCUUGGAUUUAUGACCUUGGAGCAGUUUGUGGACCGUAUCAUUGAGUAUUACUUCUCCAGUUUAGUUUUGACCACCUCACUAUUUAUUACAGCGAGUUGAAGGGUAUAAAGAUGCAACCAAUAUUUGCUUCAAUAUUCAAACAUUUAUUUAAUAAACCUAACUUUAGUUCGAUAUUAAGUGUGCCAUUUCAUACUAAAGCCAUCAAUGAAGAACUACUGCAAAAUCUUUCUGAUGCUCUACACUUAUCGGUACCUGAUAAAAUUGGAGUUGGUCUUGCUUUGUCUAAUUCUGAAGAACACGAUAUCUUUAUGAUACUAAGAAGUGUGGUUAGUUAUUCUCUUCUUUGUACAUACAUUUAGAUAUAUUAUUUUGUUUAGUUGUAGGAAGUGAAAUACAUGCAUAAGUUUAUUAUUUUUUUCUCCUUGGAAUUCUUCCGCAUGUUUCACUAAACCUAUAACCCUUUUCUUGGCUGUAUGCAGGAAAGAAUUUCUGUUUGACACAAUUUAGAGAGCUGUGUGCCAAACCUACUGCGUUUGAGGCUACUGUGAUAAUUCAGCAUAUUCUCGUGUUACUCUUAGUCAAUUUGAAGUUUUUAAUUAUUUAGAUUCAUUCUUGCAAAUGUUAUCUAUUGUUCCACUACUAAGGUUUUUCUGUUAUAGUUCCUAAUGCAUAAAUAGACUAGAAUGUACUUGGUCGAUAUAAAGGUCGAGGGUGGUAGGGGGCGACUAACUUCUUAACUUAAGAGAAACGGCGGAAUAGGGUGGAAAACAAAAGGCACAAGUCUAUUUAUUGGUUUUUGAGCUUGAUUUGCUUGAUCUUCUGCUUCUUGGUUGUUGCGCCUACAAUUUUCUAUUUAUUCAAUUCAUUCUUUGCUGCCUUUUGCAGCUUUACAAUUAACCUGUAACAUAUAUUAUAUUUUUGUGUGUUAUGACGUUUUUCUACUUUUUUCUAAUCCACUGUUUGCUACCUUGCAGCUUUAUAAUUAAUACAUACAUAGUAUCCUAUUUUCUUUGUCUUAUAUGCCGUGUACAAAUAUGUCUUAUAUGUGUUAUUCUUUGAUAUAUAAACCCCAUUGAUUGUCAAAUCUUGGCAUCUUAAUAUAUCUGUUAAUUGUUUUUAUAGGCUCUUUCCCAAGUACUUACUAGACACAUUUCCUUUUUACUUCGGCAUUAGGUUUGCUGAACUUGCUUCUAAAAAAUAAAUCGUGGGCCUUGGAAGCUGGUUGAGCACUCAAAUAGUGUCGAGUAAAGAUACUUUCUAGAGGAUCAGUCAUUAAGCAUCAACUUGUGACUAACCUUAUGCUGGGUAUUGCUUUACGAGCUGUUUUCGAUGCUUUGAGGAAGCUUGCAAAUUCAAAAGUUUGUUCCUUCCUAGGCAUUGGAGCAGUUUGUGGGUCAUCUCAUUAAGAAUUAUUGAUCCAGUUCAGGUUUGAGCACCUCACUAUUUAUUCCAGCGAGUUGAAGGGUAUAAAGCUGCAACCAAUAAUUGCUUCAAUAUUCAAAUAUUUAUUUAUUAAACCUUACUUUAGUUCGAUAUUAAGUGUGUCAUUUCAUACUAAAGCCAUCAAUGAAGAACUACUGCAAAAUCUUUCUGAUGCUCUACACUUGUCGGUACCUAAUAAAAUUUGGGUUGGACUUGCUUUGUCUAAUUAUGAGGAACACGAUAUCUGCACGAUACCAGGAUGUGUGGUUAGUUAUUCUCUUAUUUGUACAUACAUUUAGAUAUAAUUUUUUGUUUAGUUGUAGGAAGUGGAAUACAUACAACAGUUUAUUAUUUUUCUCUCCUUGGAAUUCUUCUACGUGUUGCACUAAACCUGUAACCCUUUUCUUUGUUGUAUGCAGGAAAGACUUUCUGUUUGAGUCAGAUUGCUGCGUUUGAGGCUACUGAGAUAAUUCAGCAUAUUCUUGUGUUAUUCUUGGGAAACUAGGGUGUUUUCCGUGAUAGUUCCUAGUUGUCUAUAAUGUUGUAAAAUACGCUUCAACCUAACUAUGUUACUUGUAAUGUUACCCCGUUCUAAAAUUUUCAACUUGCCUAUAAUGUUUAUCCUUUGUGAAUGCUUGUGCUUCAGGAUCAGUCAUUAAGCAUCAACUUGUGACUAACCUUAUGCUGGGUAUUGCUUUACGAGCGGUUUUCAAUGCUUUGAGGAAGCUUGCAAAUUCAAAAGUUUGUUCCUUCCUAGGCAUUGGAACAGUUUGUGGACCGUCUCAUUUAGUGGCCACUGUAUUGCCAUCAUAUCCUGCACUUUGUAACAUUUAUAGGGAGGGCACUUAACAGUAUUUCAGCGGCUUAUACUGAACUGAUGUUAGCCAUAGUGCCAAUACUGAUCACCGACACAGUCAUAUUCAAUCUUCAUCUCCACAUAUAGAGACUGCAGGCCCACCAUUUUCUCUGAUCGGACCCGGCAGCAUAUUGUCUGGAUUAGCAAUUCCCUCUUCGAUCCCACUACAACAGAGACCACCAAGUUCUCUAGAUGAGAGUUUACUCCUAAUUACAUGAAGCCAUCACAACACACCUACCCUUCCUAAGGCAAGUAAUAGGGUCUUUGUCUACUUUGAUGUAGUUCACUUGAUACUUUUUCAUUUUUACCUUGUUUUGACUGUAUUAUUAAGAGCUAAUCUACUCAAACCCACAAUGCAGUCACUCAGUGGUGCUUUGCUGUCUUUAAAAUCUGCCUCGUCGAGUUUACCACGUUCUUCUAGAUAAACCUCAGCAAGUAAAUUGUCACGUUUAACUGUACUACUCUCUCUCAUUGUGCCCUUUAUGGAUUAUAUUAACAUUGGGUCUGGUGUUACAACUGUGCGAAGAGAAACUCCCAUAGAGGUGCUUGGAUGUAGACGUCUUAUAACUUUUUGGCCCCUGUUUACACAUUAUCUUGAUCCUUUUGGUUUUCCCAUGUUUUUACUCUUGAGGAUUUUCUUCCUUGUUAUGAGUUAGCAUAUUACAAGUUCUAUUAAUUGCACAUAUAACUUGAUCCCACUGGUUAACUAAAAUCUCACACUUCUGAAUUCUUUCUUCAUUCCUGAUUACUUUCUCGUUUUCCU